AACAGAGAUAAAAUUAUACUCCUGUUAGUUUUAUGGUAAGGAUGAGAUAAAAUAACACGUAUUACCAAAUAGCAUAGUUCUUGGUAGAUUUUCUUUUAUUUACUUUCUCCGUCAAAUACCCACUGGGUAAUUUUUUACCCCUCGAGAAGCCUUGGAAAAGCAGUGAUACUGGAUGCAUUCCCUUAUCUUAUCACUUGUCACAUUCAUUAUGCUGAAAUCAUCCAUUUAAGUGUGACUCUGUCUUUUAUUUUCCACCAGGCGGCAGGUUCCUUGAGAUCCAGGGCCAUGUGUUAUCCAUUUUGAUGUCCCCAGUGUCAGACUUAAUGCCCGGGAACACAAUAGGAAUUCAAUCAAUGUGGAGCUGCUGAACUAUUGAACCACCAGGUAGAGAUUUUGAGGGUGACCGAUCAUUAUUGCCUUUAGAAAAGCAAGAUUGGUGGGUUACACCCACAUAGAGCCAAGUUAGACUAUUUUCUGGAAUUUGUUUAACCCAGGAUAGACUGGGAGCUCCAUGAGGUCCGAGACAACCAGAAGACUCCCAGCUCAGCAGAGACUGGCUAUGGCAAUCAGUAACUAUUUGUUGAAUAGGACAUAAUAGAAGAGCUGAAGAAUUUUAAACAAGUCACCACCAGUCCAGUGGAUUCCUCAAAGCAAACCUGUAAAUCUCGGCAUGAGUUGGAUUUAAGGCAGUACAUUUUCAGCUCCUGAAAAUUUGAACAGUUUCUCAAGAGAACAACUUGAAACAGAAAGGCAAGGAUGUAGAUGUGGUUGUAGAAGGUGAUGUCUAAGGCCACCAAACUGUCCACUGUGAAGAUAAACCGUG
rnacentral:antisense_RNA from 1 species